CUCGGGGUGGGGGAGAGAGGGAGGGGAGCCAGCGGCAGGCAGCAAAACACGCCGGGAUCUUUGUGCUCGGCAAGGCCGAGCCGGAGCCCCGGAGCGGAGGUUUCAUUAAUUAAUUAACCGCGGUAACGAUGUGCGGUAAUCACCUACAACGCGGGCAGGCACCGCUCACCACCUUCCUGCAUUAUUUACUGCUCGGAUUUGGGAUGAAAAUGAAACCCUGAGGGAAAGAAUCCUGGAAAAUUCUGAGCUGGGAAAGAGCCACGAGGAUCCUGAGCUUCAACAAGAAGCUGAGGUGGGACAGGAGCUUUAUGAGAAAUAUGGGAAAUUUUGGUAAUUAAAGCUCUGUGAGAUGAUCCCCCCAA